UACGUAGGGGGCAAGCGUUGUCCGGAUUUAUUGGGCGUAAAGAGCGUGUAGGCGGCUUGGUAGGUCUGCUGUGAAAACUCGGGGCUCGACCCCGAGACGUCGGUGGAAACCACCUGGCUAGAGUCCGGAAGAGGAGAGUGGAAUUCCUGGUGUAGCGGUGAAAUGCGCAGAUAUCAGGAAGAAUAUCCGUGGCGAAGGCGGCUCUCUGGGACGGUACUGACGCUGAGACGCGAAAGCGUGGGGAGCGAACAGG
rnacentral:rRNA from 1 species